AAAGCAUUAAGUAUCCCACCUGGGGAGUACGCCGGCAACGGUGAAACUCAAAGGAAUUGACGGGGGCCCGCACAAGCGGAGGAACAUGUGGUUUAAUUCGAUGAUACGCGAGGAACCUUACCCGGGCUUAAAUUAUGCAUGAAUGAUCUGGAGACAGGUCAGCCGCAAGGCAUGUAUGAAGGUGCUGCAUGGUUGUCGUCAGCUCGUGCCGUGAGGUGUCGGCUUAAGUGCCAUAACGAGCGCAACCCUUUCUGCCAGUUACUAACAGGUAAUGCUGAGGACUUUGGCGGUACUGCCAUCGUAAGAUGUGAGGAAGGUGGGGAUGACGUCAAAUCAGCACGGCCCUUACGUCCGGGGCUACACACGUGUUACAAUGGGGAGUACAGAAGGCAGCUUGCCGGCGACGGCUGGCCCAAUCCCGAAAGCUCCUCGUCGGUUCGGACUGGAGUCUGCCAACCCGACUCCACGAGCUGGAUUCGCUAGUAACUCGCGCAUCCGAGCCACGGGCGCGGUUAGAACGUACCGUUCCCGGGCCUUGUAACCCG
rnacentral:rRNA from 1 species